UGCCUGAAGAAAAUAGUGUUCCUAAAGCUCUCCCUAUGUGAAGCUAACAUGACAUUUAACCAUUUCCAGGGCUUUUUUCCUACUCAGUACAAAGUUAUAAGGAGCUGCUUUUCUUAAGAGCAUCUUGGCUAUCAUAAUGAGCAGGUUCAGUUUGUUUGCUUCAGCCUGGAGCAGAGUUAAAGCACAGUCUGCUUCAAGGAACAAGCUAAUUUUCCUUUCUCUGUAAAUAAAAAUAAAUAAAUAAUAAUAAAAUAAUAAAAAAAAGGCUGCAUAGGAGUUGUGUACAUUGCUGUCUUUUGUAUGUAGACAAAAAUGAAGACAUACCUAGGCUAAUAUUAACCCAAACAGACCAAUAUAAAUACUGCCAGAAUACUAUUUAGCAUUGUCUACAGAAUCUGAAGAGGGAGAGGCUGUUAGUUAAUAUUGCACUUACUUUUUUAUAGUAGCUACACCUCAAAGAGCUCUCUGGGAUAGAAGUUGAGAUUAUUCCCAGGAGCCACUGUCCUGGCUGUGACAACAUGAGAAGCACGUUCUUUGUGCUUUUUGUUGAAAUCAAGCAUCAUGAUGUGGGUCCGAUGCUGUCUUCUGCCCUUUAUGAAACCUGCAGUGCUUGUACCUUUGAGCAGAACUGCAGUGAGAGACUUGAGUAAUGAGGAUACACCCCCAUCACCAGUUCAGUUUUGCCUCACUCUUCUCCCCUGCCUUUCCACAGCCUUUAUUACUAGCUGAAGAGAGAGUUUCCAGAGGUGUAGUUAUGACAGCUCUUCAUGUCUGGUACCUCAAGCCAAGACAAUCUUAAUGCUUCCCAUAUAAGAACAGAGGUGGGUGAGUUUAACACAUCAGAGCAAAAUCCAAUUUUAUUUGUUGUCCAGCAUGCCCAUUUUUUUUCAGAGAUCCUUAUAGCUGACUUGACUCUUCUAGCAGGAUGAUAAACCUAAAAGAGUUGUGUCUCUGAAUUCAGAGAAGCUUAGGCAUACUCAUUUACAGUCAUAUGAAUACACUUUAGUCUGCUCUCAGAUAGUGCUACUGGUUUACAGAGCACAGAGCAAGGCUAUCUCAGUCUG
rnacentral:lncRNA from 1 species